rnacentral:rRNA from 1 species
CCUACGGGGGGCUGCAGUAAGGAAUAUUGGUCAAUGGACGAAAGUCUGAACCAGCCAUGCCGCGUGAAGGAUGAAUGCCCUCUGGGUUGUAAACUUCUUUUAUAUGGGACGAAAAAAGAUCUUUCUAGAUCACCUGACGGUACCAUAUGAAUAAGCACCGGCUAACUCCGUGCCAGCAGCCGCGGUAAUACGGAGGGUGCAAGCGUUAUCCGGAUUCACUGGGUUUAAAGGGUGCGUAGGUGGGUUGGUAAGUCAGUGGUGAAAUCUCCGAGCUUAACUUGGAAACUGCCAUUGAUACUAUCAGUCUUGAAUAUUGUGGAGGUCAGCGGAAUAUGUCAUGUAGCGGUGAAAUGCUUAGAUAUGACAUAGAACACCAAUUGCGAAGGCAGCUGGCUACGCAUAUAUUGACACUGAGGCACGAAAGCGUGGGGAUCAAACAGGAUUAGAUACCCCAGUAGUC